rnacentral:rRNA from 1 species
ACUCCUACGGGAGGCAGCAGUGGGGAAUUUUGGACAAUGGGGGAAACCCUGAUCCAGCCAUGCCGCGUGAGUGAAGAAGGCCUUCGGGUUGUAAAGCUCUUUCGGCUGGGAAGAAAUCGCACAGGCUAAUACUCUGUGUGGAUGACGGUACAAGUAUAAGAAGCACCGGCUAACUACGUGCCAGCAGCCGCGGUAAUAC